rnacentral:rRNA from 1 species
UAUGUGAUCGUCUCUCGCAUAUCAAUAAGCGGAGGAAAAGAAACUAACAAGGAUUCCCCUAGUAACGGCGAGUGAAGCGGGAAGAGCUCAAAUUUGAAAUCUUAAAGGGUUUCCCUUUACGAAUUGUAGUUUAAAGAAGUGUUUUCUGUUGAGGUUUUGGUAAAAGUUCUUUGGAAUAGGACAUCAUAGAGGGUGAGAAUCCCGUAUUUGACCUUUACUUUCAACUUUGUGAUACACUUUCAAAGAGUCGGAUUGUUUGGGAAUGCAGUCCAAAAUGGGUGGUAAAUUUCAUCUAAAGCUAAAUAUUGGCGAGAGACCGAUAGCGAACAAGUACCGUGAGGGAAAGAUGAAAAGAACUUUGAAAAGAGAGUUAAACAGUACGCUGAAAUUGUCAAAAGGGAAGCGUUUGACACCAGUGUUGUUUUUCUGAAAAUCAAUUAAAGAACUGUUUAUGCUAAGUUGUUUAGACUUUAUCAGCUAACUGUUUAGUUUUGAGCUUUUCUUUAAUGCACUUUUCAGUUAACAAGUCAACAUCAAUUUCUUUUGCUGUAAAAAAGCUUGAGGAAGGUGGCUUGAGAUUCGUCUUAAGUGUUUAUAGCCUCUUGCCUAUGCAGUCGGAGAGAUUGAGGUCUGCAGCGUAGAUCCUUCGGGGCUAAAUGCAUUUGUGCUAAGUUAUAGCAUUUUAUAGACAACUUGUUGACUAUGAUUUGUCUUGUAGCUUACUCGCUUAUGUUAUUUUACCUACGCUUAGGAUGUUGACUGAUAUGUAGUCGUA